CCCCGCCCCGCGGCGGCCCCGGCAGCCCGGCCCCCGCCUCCGCGCGCCAUUCCUCCGCGUCCUCCGGCCGCGCGUCCCGCCUGCCGCGCCUCGGCCAUGGCGGGCCUGGGGCCGCGACCCGCCAAGGGCUACCGGGUGGUGCUGCUCGGGAGCGUGGCCGUGGGCAAGACGGCCCUCGCCACGCAGUUCGCCUGCGGCAGGUUCCCCGAGCAGUGCGAGCCGUCGGUGGAGGAGCUCUUCAGCAAGGUGAUCGAGGUGAACGCGGCGCCCGCCCUGCUGGAGAUCGUGGACACCGUGGGCGCCGAGCACCUGGUCACCCUCAAGGACCUGUACAUCAAGAACAGCGACGGCUUCGUGGUGCUCUACAGCGUGUGCAGCGAGGCCUCGUUCGAGGCCGUGCGGCCGCUGCGGGAGCGCAUGGGCCGGCUGCGGGGGCCCAAGGCCGUGCCGCUGGUGCUGGUGGGCACCAAGGCCGACCUGGACGCCCAGCGCCAGGUGCUGACGGCGCAGGGCCGCGCGCUGGCCCGCGAGUGGCGGUGCCCGUUCCUGGAGGUCACGGCCAAGAGCAAACUGAUGGUGGACCAGGUGUUCACGCAGGUGGUGCGCGAGAUGGAGGCCCUGGCCCCGCCCGAGGAGGAGGCUCCGGUCGUCCCCGCGAACGUCCAGGAGACGUGGCCGUCGGAAAGAUUCAUCGGCUGAUGCGCCACGGCUCGUGUUCCGUGCGUCUCUCGCUGUCGUGAUUUCUGAAGCUCAGUAUUCCGACUCUGCCAUUUUCGAGAGUUAUCUGGCUGUAAACAAACGGUUACUUCUGUACACGGACUCAAAUCCCUGCUUCAAACUGUCCACAGAGCUUCCGAAAUAUUUGUCGAAAACUUUGCAACUGUAUUUACCUUUCGACAGUGCUGGAAGAAGACACCAAAAAUCGAUUUUUUUUUUUUUCUUUUUUCCCUGUGGGGAGAGAGUACUAUGUCUUCAAUUGGAAUGUGUUACUGGGAUUUUCUUUUUAUAAUUAACACCUUUGAACGUCAUCCGACAUUUGAAGUUGAUUGAGGAACUCAAGUUUAAGCUUUGGAUUCCCUGAGCUCUCAUGUGUUCCUUUCUCAGUUACAGGCUUGAACGGCAGUAGUAAUAUUUUCCUCUCCCCGUAUUUCUAAAUAUAGUUAUGACAUACGUAGCCUUGGUCUGAAAGGGAUAUUGUACACCCUGGGAGGGGCAGAAUCAACUCUGCUCAGGCAAAGAGCUCAGCUCUGCCUUCGGUUUUGUAAUUGACAUCGAGUUGAUUUCUGCAGCUGUAAAUUGACUAAAAAUAAAAUGACUUUAGAAGGUGUUAGUUUUUAAUCUUUGUCUUUCUAGAAGCUAGAGCUACAAUCCCAUAUACUCUAUCUCUGCUUUUCAGUUAUUUUCCAGGACAAGUGAGUAACUAGAGGGAAAACGGCCCCAUUUGGUUUUUGCGGCUUGGAGUCAGCUAUGUCCUCUGAAUACCUGCCUAGUUUGACACGGGUACUGAAAUUGAAACAAAACAUGAAUCUUUUUGUAUAGUUCUUGCAUAACAGUACAAGCAGUUUUCCUUGCGCUGGUUUAAAAAUAUUAUUGUUUUAUAAACGUAAAGAUUGUUCUUUGAGUUGCUUGUGUUUAUUUGCACAAGUUAGUUUUACCUCACCUGCUGCAACAGAUUUUUUUCAAAUUUGGAACCUAACAUAGCCAUUUGAACAUCCUUGUAGGGAAUGAAAUAAAGAUCUGUGCCUGUGUUCUGAAAUAAUUUCAUUAAAGGAAAUUUAUAAAGUGACGGUUA